rfam:Hordeum vulgare subsp. vulgare, WGS project CAJW01000000 data, contig: morex_contig_37895
UUUAUACUCCCUCCGUCCUAAAAUUCUUGUCUUAGGUUUGUAUAAAAAUAAUUGUAUCUAAAUACUAAAAUGUGACUAGAUACAUUCAUAUAUAAAUAAUUCUUAGACAAGAAUUUUGAGAUGAAGGGAGUAUUAG